GUGGGGAAUAUUGGACAAUGGGCGAAAGCCUGAUCCAGCCAUGCCGCGUGUGUGAAGAAGGUCUUCGGAUUGUAAAGCACUUUAAGUUGGGAGGAAGGGCAGUAAGUUAAUACCUUGCUGUUUUGACGUUACCGACAGAAUAAGCACCGGCUAACUUCGUGCCAGCAGCCGCGGUAAUACGAAGGGUGCAAGCGUUAAUCGGAAUUACUGGGCGUAAAGCGCGCGCAGGUGGUUUUGUAAGUUGGAGGUGAAAUCCCCGGGCUCAACCUGGGAACUGCCUCCAAAACUGCAUGACUAGAGUACGGUAGAGGAUAGUGGAAUUUCCUGUGUAGCGGUGAAAUGCGUAGAUAUAGGAAGGAACACCAGUGGCGAAGGCGACUACCUCGACUGAUACUGACACUGAGGUGCGAAAGCGUGGGGAGCAAACAGGAUUAGAAACCCUGGUAGUCC
rnacentral:rRNA from 1 species